rnacentral:rRNA from 1 species
UAGGGAAUCUUCCACAAUGGAAGCAAGUCUGAUGGAGCAACGCCGCGUGAGUGAAGAAGGUUUUCGGAUCGUAAAGCUCUGUUGUUGGUGAAGAAGGAUAGAGGCAGUAACUGGUCUUUAUUUGACGGUAAUCAACCAGAAAGUCACGGCUAACUACGUGCCAGCAGCCGCGGUAAUACGUAGGUGGCAAGCGUUGUCUGGAUUUAUUGGGCGUAAAGCGAGCGCAGGCAGAAUGAUAAGUCUGAUGUGAAAGCCCACGGCUCAACCGUGGAACUGCAUCGGAAACUGUCAUUCUUGAGUGCAGAAGAGGAGAGUGGAAUUCCAUGUGUAGCGGUGGAAUGCGUAGAUAUAUGGCAGAACACCAGUGGCGAAGGCGGCUCUCUGGUCUGCAACUGACGCUGAGGCUCGAAAGCAUGGGUAGCGAACAGG